UUACAUUACUACACACUGCAGGACCACUGCAUUCUUUACCAAGAUGACAAAGAUAAUUAACCUACAAGCAGGUUGAGAAAAUAUGACAUUAGAGACCCAGCAUGCUUGCUUCAUGUUAUCAUGGAUACAGGACUCCUUCUGAGCACCAGCUUUAGCUUCUUCUGUAAGUUAGUUUGUGACUAAUGUAAUAACACUAGAAAUUAUACUAUGGUCUUCUGGUUUAGCUUAGCAAAUUCAAAAAUAGCUUCUGAAUAAAUUACAUUGACUAACCUACAAAUCUGACCUACAUGCUUGUUUUGACUUUGAAGGGCAAAGAAGAAAAUAUCUGUAAACACAUGUAGUAAUAUGAAAGCCGUCACAACACGUGUAUGCUAGAAACAAUCAAUUUUUAUAACAAAAGUUUAAAAGUUAAUGUUAUUUCCUUUUAAAAUCUUAUUUUAAACUCCCUAAGACCGUUUCUGUAAAGAUCUCAAGUGACCUUAUUGCUCUAGCACCAUCAGUGCUGCACUGCAUUCACAGAAUAAUUUGGAUUACUCAAAUACCACUAGCAGCGUACUGUCUUCCUUGUUUGCACGCCUUUUGAGUCAUGUUGUGACUUUUUACAAGAAGGCAAACAAAGCCUAGGUCACAUCCAUCAGAGACUUUUUCAGAAUGUACAUUGAAGAGACAAAACAAAUGCAUAUGCCUUCAAUGUAUGAAUAGCAGUAUAUCUCCAUUUCUAUUUCUACUUAAAUUUUUACAUGCCUAACUUUUUCAGUUUAUAUUUACUUUAAAAUCAGAGUAGAUUUCCUACAUCCCCUUUCAAUCUCUUGCAUAUGAAAUAACUGUGCCAAAUCAGAGGUGAUCGACUCAGCUGUUCUCUGCAACUUGCCCCCCUUGACCUUAGUGAAAUCAGGGGUAACAACAGACCAAGGUUCAAGCCUGACAGACCUCAAGAAUUUACUGGAGAUACAAAGAUUAUCUUUGGUUUGUGCUUUUUUUGUUCUUUAUGCCAUAUGGGGUCACGACACACGAGGGGUGACGACACACUACAAUAAUGACUACAAGAAGGAAACACUUGAGCAAGACAUAAAAAGAGGAAGAAGAGGAUCGAAGACUAAACUGAAAUAUUAUAAAUCAGGAUGGAGAUGGUAUUCAGGAACAGAAAGAUUCAAACGUUGUUCCAGAAGCCUUUCAAAACCAUAUCUAAAUACUGCAACGACGGAAGCAGGAUAAAUCACUCACAGGAAUUUGAUUUAGCUUCAAGUUCUUCCUUGGGACUAAACUUCCAGAACUAUCACCUCUAAUAGAAAACUGCUCGGAAGUUGUAUUUAAUAAAAUUUGAAGCAUACUUCCAUCCAGGAAAGCCUACCAAUACAUUUUGUGGGCUAUGCAGUUCCUAAAAGAAAAACAACAAGUUGCUUUUAUCAACUGUGAA